rnacentral:rRNA from 1 species
UACGUAGGUGGCAAGCGUUGUCCGGAAUUAUUGGGCGUAAAGCGCGCGCAGGUGGUUUCUUAAGUCUGAUGUGAAAGCCCACGGCUCAACCGUGGAGGGUCAUUGGAAACUGGGGAACUUGAGUACAGAAGAGGAAAGUGGAAUUCCAAGUGUAGCGGUGAAAUGCGUAGAGAUUUGGAGGAACACCAGUGGCGAAGGCGACUUUCUGGUCUGUAACUGACACUGAGGCGCGAAAGCGUGGGGAGCGAACGGG